AUUGAACGCUGGCGGCAGGCCUAGCACAUGCCAGUCGAGCGGAUGAAGGGAGCUUGCUCCUGGAUUCAGCGGCGGACGGGUGAGUAAUGCCUAGGAAUCUGCCUGGUAGUGGGGGAUAACGUCCGGAAACGGGCGCUAAUACCGCAUACGUCCUGAGGGAGAAAGUGGGGGAUCUUCGGACCUCACGCUAUCAGAUGAGCCUAGGUCGGAUUAGCUAGUUGGUGGGGUAAAGGCCUACCAAGGCGACGAUCCGUAACUGGUCUGAGAGGAUGAUCAGUCACACUGGAACUGAGACACGGUCCAGACUCCUACGGGAGGCAGCAGUGGGGAAUAUUGGACAAUGGGCGAAAGCCUGAUCCAGCCAUGCCGCGUGUGUGAAGAAGGUCUUCGGAUUGUAAAGCACUUUAAGUUGGGAGGAAGGGCAGUAAGUUAAUACCUUGCUGGUUUGACGUUACCAACAGAAUAAGCACCGGCUAACUUCGUG
rnacentral:rRNA from 1 species